rnacentral:lncRNA from 1 species
UCUAAGUGAUAGGAAACUGCAAGGAGGACAGAAUAAGAAAGUACUAUGGAAAAUAUAUUUUUAAAAAAUAAGACUUUGAAGAACUAUAAACCCAAAGAUAUGCAAAUGGUAAAAAACAAUAUUAACUAGGUAGUUUAAUAGCCAAAUAAGAAUUCCAGGAAAACAAGGCAGAAGGGAAUAAAUCAGAAAUAAGAACUUUUCCCCAAGUUGAAAGCCAGGUACCUCCUGGACUGAAAUUCUUUUCCAUCAGUAAAGCACAAAUAAAAGACCCAAGAACGCUUAGAACAAUGAUAGAGAAUAUUCUAAGUUCCAAAGCAGAUGAAACAUCCAAGGACAGGACACUAUAUGCAGGAUCAGAAAUCAGAAUGACAGGCUGCAACACUGAAAGCUGGAAGUCAAUAGAGCAAUAUCUUCAAAUUAGAGACUAGGCAACUCCACACCUGUAAUUUGGUGCCUAGCUAAACUGUCAAGAGCCAGUGGGCGGCAGGGGAGAAAGAUCAUCUCAGAUAUACAAGUCCUCAAAGUUUGCCUGGUGCAUCCUUCUUUCUCAAAUUGAUACAAAAUGGCACUCCAGGAGAUGAGGCUUCCUUUCUCUGCUCUAACCCCGGACACCUGGCUUAUCAAGUUAGUUUUGUUUAGAGGACUCACACACUUGCUUCAUUUUGGAAAGGUAGGCCAAGAACUCAUUACCAUAUUCAUCUAGUUUUCUCACAGGAAGGGUGAGAUAUGACUUGGCAACUCCCUUUUCUAAAUUGUUCUUUACUGACUUUUUCCUUAUUUAUCAUCUGACCUUCAUCUUGCCUAGUUUCUGGAGCAGCUUUCCUGGUUUUUGUUGCUUUACUCUCAAUGCAUACCCAUCGUGUAGCAGGUCCAAUACAUGUUUGAAUUUAGGGGACUUUAGUCAUGCUGUAGCUCCCAGCUUGAGAAGCUCCUAGCCAGAUGUGGCUAUAGACAGUUGAAAUGUGUUUAGUAUAAGAAUUCUAGUUUAGUUAAGAACAGCUACUCUGUUCAGCUGCUGGAAAACAAGUAUGUUCGGAACAAUUUGGGUAUGUAAAUCUAGUUUUACAAUAUAAAUCUCAUAAGACCUAAAAAUUUAGUAUUUCUAGCUAAUGUUCAACCUGAAAAUUGAGAUUUGCUAUAAAUAUACACUGUGUGAAAAAAUAAAUCUCAAAUCUUUGUUAUAAGUGAGAUUUUAGAUGCAUUGUUAAAUACAAUUAAAAUGAAUUUCAUUUACGAUUGCUCCGGUGAAGUACAGUUACAUUUAAGUUGUUUAAUGACCAGGUUAACCACUAUCACCACUGCAAUCCAAGGCUAUUGCUUUUCCCUUUAAAAGGGUUGGUCUUUAGCACAUCAGAAGGUAGUCAGUAGUGUCCGAGCUUUGCUUCAGGCAUCUAGCUUAGCCACAUCUCCCCAUCAUCAGACAAGCCUCAGAUAAACUUUUG